UACGAAGGGUGCAAGCGUUACUCGGAAUUACUGGGCGUAAAGCGUGCGUAGGUGGUUUGUUAAGUCUGAUGUGAAAGCCCUGGGCUCAACCUGGGAAUUGCAUUGGAUACUGGCAGGCUAGAGUGCGGUAGAGGGUAGUGGAAUUCCCGGUGUAGCAGUGAAAUGCGUAGAGAUCGGGAGGAACAUCCGUGGCGAAGGCGACUACCUGGACCAGCACUGACACUCAAGCACGAAAGCGUGGGGAGCAAACAGG
rnacentral:rRNA from 1 species